rnacentral:rRNA from 1 species
UACAGAGGGUGCAAACGUUGCUCGGAAUCAUUGGGCGUAAAGCGCACGUAGGCGGCUCGUUAAGUCGGAUGUGAAAGCCCCGGGCUCAACCCGGGAAGUGCAUUCGAAACUGGCGAGCUUGAAUAUGGAAGAGGGUCGCGGAAUUCCCGGUGUAGAGGUGAAAUUCGUAGAUAUCGGGAGGAACACCAGUGGCGAAGGCGGCGACCUGGGCCAAUAUUGACGCUGAGGUGCGAAAGCGUGGGGAGCAAAC